CCGAGUUUACAACUCCCAAACUCCUGUGAACAUACCACUUGUUGCCUCGGCGGAUCAGCCCGCUCCCGGUAAAACGGGACGGCCCGCCAGAGGACCCCUAAACUCUGUUUCUAUAUGUAACUUCUGAGUAAAACCAUAAAUAAAUCA
rnacentral:misc_RNA from 1 species